rnacentral:hammerhead_ribozyme from 1 species
AAGCGAAACGGGGCUUGCCCCCGUCUACCCAGCGUGGUGGCUGGGUACUGAUGAGCAGCCGACG